AACGAACGCUGGCGGCAGGCCUAACACAUGCAAGUCGAACGAGCAUUUCGGUGCUAGUGGCGCACGGGUGCGUAACGCGUGGGAACGUGCCCUUUUGUUCGGAAUAACCCCGGGAAAGGGGGGCUAAUACCGCAUACGCCCUUUGGUGCAAAGAUUUAUCGGAUAAGGAUCGGCCCGCGUUGGAUUAGGUAGUUGGUGGGGUAAAGGCCUACCAAGGCGACGAUCCAUAGCUGGUUUGAGAGGAUGAUCAGCCACACUGGGACUGAGACACGGCCCAGACUCCUACGGGAGGCAGCAGUGGGGAAUCUUAGACAAUGGGGGCAAGCCUGAUCUAGCCAUGCCGCGUGAGUGAUGAAGGCCUUAGGGUUGUAAAGCUCUUUCAGCUGGGAAGAUAAUGACGGUACCGGCAGAAGAAGCCCCGGCUAACUCCGUG
rnacentral:rRNA from 1 species